rnacentral:rRNA from 1 species
UACAGAGGGUGCGAGCGUUAAUCGGAAUUACUGGGCGUAAAGCGCACGUAGUCGGCUUUGCAAGUCGGGUGUGAAAUCCCCGGGCUCAACCUGGGAACUGCAUCUGUGACUGCAUAGCUAGAGUACGGUAGAGGGGGAUGGAAUUCCGCGUGUAGCAGUGAAAUGCGUAGAUAUGCGGAGGAACACCGAUGGCGAAGGCAAUCCCCUGGACCUGUACUGACGCUCAUGCACGAAAGCGUGGGGAGCAAACAGG